GGUCCUACGGGGGGCAGCAGUGGGGAAUAUUGCACAAUGGGGGAAACCCUGAUGCAGCGACGCCGCGUGAGUGAAGAAGUAUUUCGGUAUGUAAAGCUCUAUCAGCAGGGAAGAAAAUGACGGUACCUGACUAAGAAGCCCCGGCUAACUACGUGCCAGCAGCCGCGGUAAUACUUAGGGGGCAAGCGUUAUCCGGAUUUACUGGGUGUAAAGGGCGUGCAGCCGGAGAGGCAAGUCAGAUGUGAAAUCCGCGGGCUCAACUCGCGAACUGCAUUUGAAACUGCUUCCCUUGAGUAUCGGAGAGG
rnacentral:rRNA from 1 species